UGUGUGGUCACAUGACUGUAAUCCCUGUGAGUGGAGUCCGUUACCUCCCAGGCCAAGGGCGUCCAAUCCCUUUAGAGGAUUAUCAGAAUAUGAGAUCAUAUCCAACGUUCACGUAAACAUGAGUGUCCAGAGCGUCCUGAUGCUUUUCCACUGACGCUCAUUCAACCCUCAGACCUGACACCGGUUCAACUGGACGUCUUCAUCUAAAACUCGGUCUGGAAACCUCAGAACAGCGUCUACGUUUCAAGUACUCGUUUUUUGGCUGUAGGUCUGAUCUCGAACAACUGCCACCAUGGAUCCUCGGUUAAAAAAG